rnacentral:lncRNA from 1 species
ACACACAGUGUUGUGCGCAAACUAUCAUUUGCAAGAUUACAUGCCCUUUGUACCAAUUUUGUUUAGGGUGUUAAUUCAAGAGUUGCAAGGUAUAUUGACAAGAGGGGUUGCUCUGAUGGUAAGCAACCCCCACUUCCAACCUAGAGGUUGUGAGUCCUUAAUGUUUCAUUGUAUAAUUAAUUUUCUUACGCUAAAUAAUUAUAUUGUGUGUUUCCUUCUUUCCUUUUAACUAAAACCAAUACUGUAAAUUAAAGUCCCAGUGGACUUAGAUGAAUUCAAGUCACCAGGGGUCAACAAAUAUCUAAAACAAUAAAGGUAAAAGCUCCAGAGAGGAUAUUACAAAUCCUUUUAGCAAAUCUGAGCUUGUAAAAAGAGAGGGGUUGCUCUGACAAGAGGGGUUGCUCUGAUGGUAAGCAACCCCCACUUCCAACCGAGAGGUUGUGGGUUCGAGUCUCCCCAAGAGCAAGGAGGGAAGUUCUUGGAGGGAAGGAUGCCGGGGGUCUAUUUGAAAACAGUCUCUCUACCCAGGGUAGGAGUAAGGUCUGCGUACAUACUACCCUCCCCAGACCUCACUAAAUGGGAUUAUACUGGGUUGUUGUUGUUGUUGUUGUUUUUAUGAGGAUGCUCCACAUGGCCGAUGAAACCC